CCAUGUUAUGCCUCUAACCAGUUAGUGGCGUCCUAGGGGACUUCUCCUGUUAAAUACAACUAGCAUGUUACCAUCACUUUAUCUAAAAAUGGAGCAAAAUGCUUAGUUCGCUUAGCUUGCCUACCCUUAAUAUAAAAUGUGCAGUUUUUCUCAUGUGCCAUGACAAUGUAACCAUGUGUAUCUACCUAAAAAUGCUUGUCUAUGCUGUCCUGAC